GGAUGUUCGCCACACGGAAAAUAUCUACAUCUGCACUGGUGUGACCCCGAUGAUGAUGAUGACAGCGGCAGUGGCUUUCUCCGAGGAAUCCAGGUCAUUCAUAACAGCAACAUCUAUGCUGACAAACACUUCCAGCAAUGCACCAAAGCUGUGAUCCCAUCAGAGUCUCCUCUUGAUCGAUCCAAUCUGCAUUUUGUUAGCUUUCCCAGUUUUGAAUUGAUCCCCUGAAUUAUGAUCAGACUUAUCUUCUGGUUGAGAUCUAGGAGUACCACUGGUUGCAUCAUUUCCAGGCGAAAUAAGAGAGGAAACCAGCCUGUGCUUCUUGAGAAAUGGCUCACCCCUGGAACUCGAUUUGGAAUUAUCACUUGAAGAAUCAACGUCACUGUCUCUCCUCCUGAACUCCCACCCUUUGCUGAAAUUUCAGAUCUUCACUCAUGUUAGUACUUGGGGAUAUAAUCACAACUGUGUAACUAUGUGCUCAAUCCCCAAGAAAGUCCGACCAGAAAUGACUAGACUCAGCUAUCAUCAAAGUUUCAGUUGCUUGUUUGGAGAAUGAGAUCAGUUUGAUAGGAGGAUUUCCACUGCAACUGCACCUUGAAGUUGUUUGAAAGAUUGUACCAUGAUUCUAGCAUUCGUUGCUUCGUUUAUUCUUGGAUCUUCUGGCUAUCUUUGAAGGUCGUUAGGGUAAAUCAGGGCUUUAGAGAGUCUGAGUGAGCCCUCAUUCAAGAAUAUGAUGAACCAGUCAAAACGAC
rnacentral:lncRNA from 1 species